CAGUCGCCGCGGGAAUACGUAGGGUGCGAGCGUUAAUCGGAAUUACUGGGCGUAAAGCGUGCGCAGGCGGUUGUGUAAGACAGGUGUGAAAUCCCCGGGCUUAACCUGGGAACUGCGCUUGUGACUGCACAGCUAGAGUAUGGCAGAGGGGAGUGGAAUUCCACGUGUAGCAGUGAAAUGCGUAGAGAUGUGGAGGAACACCGAUGGCGAAGGCAGCCCCCUGGGCCAAUACUGACGCUCAUGCACGAAAGCGUGGGGAGCAAACAGGAUUAGAUACCCCCGUAGUCCCUGUCUCUUAUAC
rnacentral:rRNA from 1 species